GGCACGUUAGAUGCUUCACAAUCGAUACGGUAGGCCAACGGCGGUCUCCACCCUAAGACAAAGGCGUCGC
rnacentral:ncRNA from 1 species